GGUAUAGCUCAGUGGUAGAGUGCGUGCUUAGCAUGCACAAGGUCCUGGGUUCUAAUCCCCAGCACC
rnacentral:tRNA from 1 species